rnacentral:rRNA from 1 species
UACGGAGGGGGCUAGCGUUGUUCGGAAUUACUGGGCGUAAAGCGCACGUAGGUGGCGACGUAAGUCGGGUGUGAAAGCCCCGGGCUCAACCUGGGAAUUGCAUUCGAGACUGCAUUGCUGGAGUACGGAAGAGGAGGGCGGAAUUCCCGGUGUAGCGGUGAAAUGCGUAGAUAUCGGGAGGAACAUCAGUGGCGAAGGCGGCUCACUGGUCCGGUACUGACGCUGAGGUGCGGAAAGCGUGGGGAGCAAACAGG